AGUGACGCACGGCCAAGGCCGGCGGCCGCCCUGCCCCCGCUUCCUUUCACGCUGUCGCUGCCAGUAGGUGGUUGUGGCCACUGUGCCCGGAGGGAGGCGGCGGUGGCCAGUAAUGCCUGGGAAACUCCUCUGGGGGGACAUUAUGGAGCUGGAAGCACCCUUGGAGGAAUCCGAGAGCCAGAAGAAGGAGAGGCAAAAGACCUUAACACGUGAACGGAAAGAAGGAGCCUUCUCCAAUUUUCCUAUUUCUGAAGAGACUAGAAAGCUUCUGAAAGAUUUAGAUGAGCGUCCCCGGCGUUGGCGUUGGCGUCAUCGUCCUGGUCUCCGUCCGCCAGGCGCUCCCGCACCCUUGCUGACCCUGCCGCCCGCAGCCCUGGCGCUCCCUGCGGGCCCUGCCGAGGCUGUGCCAGCGCGCGCCCUGAGAGUCGGUGGGCGCCGACUGCGGCCACCGCUUCUGUUGGGCGUGCGUGGUGUGCUUCUGGGCCGAGGAGGAUGGGCCCUUCACGUGCCCCGAGUGCGCCAACGACUGCUGGCAGCACGCCGUGGAGCCUGGCCGGCUCCCGCGUAGCCGCCGCCUUCUGGCGCUCGAGGCGGUGACCGUGGCGCCGGCGCGCAAUGGCCGGGCCAGCGAGGCCUAGCUGCAGCUGCUGUGCCGCACUGACGCCAGCCCGCUCUGCGCCGCCUGCCGCCUGGCUGCGGGCCUCGAGCCACCCGAGUGGGAGCCGCGCUGGAGGAAGGUGCUGUGCGGCAAGGAGAACAAGGAGUCUGUGGAAAUCAUGAGAAAGAACUUGAAUGACGCCCGGGACCUGCAUGACCAGGCGGAGUCAGCCGCUGCAGUGUGGAAGGGACACGUGAUGGACCAUAGGAAGAAGGACUGACCAACUACAAGAAGCUGCGGGCCUUCUUUGUGGAGGAGGAGGAGCACUUCCUGCAGGAGGCUAAGAAGGAGGAGGGGCUCCUCAGGGAGGGGCUUCUCGCUCAGAUCACUGCUGAGACAAAGCACCGGAACCUGGGCCUCAGCAUGCUGCUGCAGUGAUGGCGCCAACCCGCGGCAGUCCCAGAGCUGGAGGCAGGAGGAUGGAUCCUCAUCUCCCUGGGAAGUGUCAGCGUGUGGCUGUCAGGGAAGUGUGGAAGGCGCCCAGCCUUGGGUCCAUUUAUAUAGUUGUGUGUUUCAACAAUGUCUCUAUCCUUUACUCUGAGGUGUGAGUGUUUUGGGGGCUGCAAACACCUCCUGGUAGAGGCUGGACCUGAGGAUCCUUCUGACCUGUGCCUGACCCUUCCUGAAGUCCUGGCCACAGCCCAUCCUCCAUGAGUCCCGGCAGCUCUGGGCCAUGCCCUUCCUUGGUCACCCAUCUGCCCCUCACCUUGUCAUCCAGGGACCCAGACCCUGCACCUUCCAUGCGGGCCCACAGAUCCUUGGCAGGUACCUGAGGUGCACCGUUGAGUGUCAAAUUUGGGGUUAGCAUCCAGAAAGAAGAACGCACAUGAGGCUCUGUGAAGGCUGGAACUCAGGGCUUCAGGGAAGAGAAAGGAAGACGAUUGCACCUUGAUGCCUCCUGAGGAAGCGGCCCUCCUCUUGAGGUGGGCGUGGGCCCCACCCAGCGUUAUCAGUGUGGCUCUGUCCACGUCCCCCUUCCUGGCCCCCACCCUGCUUCUGUGUCUCCCAGGAGCCCUCCCUGUGCUCCACCUGCCUCUGCAGAAGGAACUCUCUCCGUUUCCCUGGGUGAGGGGACUGGCAGGUGGCAAACCCCAUUUAGCCUCUCCAGGUCCUGCCAUGGUGUCUCAUCUUGCCGUUCUCUCUGGCUCUUUCUCUCUUCCCAUUUCCUUUAGUAGUUGAAUUUUGCAAAGCUCGUAGCAGUAGCUCAGUUGUCUGCAGCAUCCUUGUGUGUAGAUAAAUUAGUGGACAGAAACUCAGCACUGGGGACAAGAUUGCAAAGUCAGGGACAUAGAUGGAGGCAGAUGUUGAGAUUUGGGUACAGCUGGGCUUGUGAGCAGUGCCUGUUUCCAGAUGAAGCCUUUCAGCACUUCCAAGUCCCCAGCCUUUCGUGCGAUGUCUGUGAGUUUGACCUACCCAGUGUGUGGGCUGGAAAUGCUGAAUAAAGUGGGUUUGUGUCAAAAAAAAAAAAAAAAAAAAAAAAAAGAUUUAGAUGGGCCA